GGGUAUGUAGCUUAGUGGUGGAGCACAUAUUUAGCAUCCAUGAAGCCCUGGGUUUAAUUCUCAGCACCACCA
rnacentral:tRNA from 1 species